CUCCCCUGCAACUCAACACCUGGAAGAAACGUCUGGUGGAUAAAAGAUUUGAACUAAGGAGGCUGGUCCCAGGCUGGAAUAGAGUCCCAGCCUACAUGUUGAGGAUCUGUAACCGGCUUGCACUAUCUGUCAGGUUUUUCCAGUUCCCGGUGGUCCAAAGAGAACAUACGGAGUUGGACGACAUUCACCACUAAGUAUCCUCUUCACUGCUAGUUUCUGAUGUUCAUUCAGCACAGGAUUGAAAAAUUCACAGUCUCUCUGUUCAGGAAAAAAGUACAAGAAGCACAAUAAAAGUCCACUGGGGAGUACCUGCAGAGCAAGAAUGAGCAGUUCCAACAACCAUCACAGGCAGAAAGAAGGAACUGAGGGGGCAAUGGGUCAGCAGGCCCCUAUAUACAGCACAUUGAGGAUGCGACUCAAAGGGGUGCUGGAGCCGACCUGACAGAUACCACUGAGGGAAAAAUCUUCUGGCGACUGUGC